rnacentral:rRNA from 1 species
GUGUCAGCAGCCGCGGUAAUACAGAAGCCUCAAGCGUUGUUCGGAAUUACUGGGCGUAAAGGGAAUGUAGGCGGUGACGUAAGUCAGAUGUGAAAGCCCUGGGCUUAACCCAGGAAGUGCAUUUGAUACUGCGUUGCUAGAGUGCUAGAGAGGAAAGUGGAAUUCCAGGUGUAGGGGUGAAAUCCGUAGAUAUCUGGAGGAAUACCGAUGGCGAAAGCAGCUUUCUGGCUCGUAACUGACGCUGAGAUUCGAAAGCGUGGGGAGCAAACAGGAUUAGAUACCCGGGUAGUCC